rfam:Ipomoea nil DNA, scaffold: scaffold2701, cultivar: Tokyo-kokei standard.
UCGACCAUAGCUCAGUUGGUAGAGCGGAGAACUGUAGUUUGAUUAAUCUAAAUUGGAAAUCCUUAGGUCGCUGGUUCAAAUCCGGCAGGUCGGA